GUGCUCGCUUAGGCAGCACAUGUACUAAAAUUGGAACAAUACAGAGAAGAUUAGCACGGCCCCUACACAAGGAUAACAUGCAAAUUCGUAAAGCAUUCCAUAUUUUU